CCGGCAAUUACUGCUAGUUCGAAUCUUGCCAGGCUCAAGGUUGACUCAGCCUUCCAUCCUUUCUAAGUUUACAGGAGGAAAAUGGAAAGCGUUCUGAUGAGUGGAUUUGCCAAGCUAUGAGAGGAAAGAAAAUUAUUUCAUUGUCACUUAGUGUGUCAACCUCAACACCUUUAAGAUGGCUGGAGUUCAAUUUCCAGAAUUCCCUAGCCAGCUACUAUUGCAGCUUUCAUUGUACGGCCUCUUUCUGGAAUCAAAGCACUACUACCGCUUGUUUGUCACUCAGAGAAUGGAACAAGUGACAUGAGGUCAUUGAAGGUGGUCUUCCUUCAAUUAGGUCACAUACACACUGAAGAUUAAUUGAAUACUCAUCCUCCUUCCCCGGGGAACCUAGAGAAGUCUAGCUGCAUAAAAUGUGUUUGGAUUCUACAAAGGUAGUUUACGAUGCAGCAUAUUACCCCCAACAAUCAGCAUUGUCAUUUUACCAAUCUUGGAAAGAAGGAAGCCUGAGUCAACCUUGAGACCCAUCAGGAUCAAACUCCAGGCUGUGGGCAGAGUUUUCCUGCAAUACUGCAUACUAACCUGUGAUGACUUCCCCAGACAAUAGUUCGAACCAUAAAGAGCCAGACUCAGGGGUAUGUGGAGGAAUACUCAGAGAUUGCCAGCGGCUAUGAGUCAGGAGGAGAGGAGCACAGUGGAGUGACUGAAUGAGCGGCCAGCUGAGCUAGGGACAGAAGAGGCACAGCUGUAGCUGGGAAGCCCAGAGGCUUCAGAUGGAGAGGGCAUCAGCUGCAGCUGAUUAUCAGAGAUGGAUAAUAACUGCCUCUUCCUCCCAAUCUGAGAUCACAUAGGACUGAGAGGAGGCAGGCACAAUGAAAGUCAGCCAGGCUACCUGCAAGGCGGCAGCCUCACUCCUCUUGAUGGACUGUAUUGGGAAACAGCUAUUUAGCUCAGCGAGUGGAGUGAAACAACACUGGAAAUAAUGUGUCUGUUUCCUUGUUUCUUCAGCCUUCAUGAUUCUUGCCUUGGCACUCAAACUAGAUUCUGUACCUUGUGUUGUGGUCCGCCAGCAGCCUGCGGAGCUGGCAGCAGAGUCGGACAAUGAGGAGGAUGGGGAGGAACAUGGGCCAGUCCUGGAGUCUGGGGAAGGCUUGGACGAGGGCUCUGCACCAAAGGCAGAGAUGGGGCCACGGCCAUCUGGGAGAUAUGUGCAGACUCCGGAGCCUCUAGAGUCAGACAUCAGAGAGGCAGAGGAACAGGGGGAGCCUGUUCCUAGUGCACGCAUCCGCAGAGCUGCCAGAAGGCAAGAACAGCUAAAACAAAAGGACGACUCGGGAGUAAGGCUUGGAGAUGAUUGGCCCCUCCCAUAAGACAUAAAGGAAGAGCAAGGGCACGUGGGCCUUUGCAGGAAGCAA